AUUGAACGCUGGCGGAAUGCUUUACACAUGCGAGUCGAACGGUAGAGGGGGCAACCCCUCGAGAGUGGCGAACGGGUGAGUAAUAUAUCGGAACGUGCCCAGUCGUGGGGGAUAACGUAGCGAAAGUUACGCUAAUACCGCAUACGAUCUAAGGAUGAAAGCGGGGGAUCGCAAGACCUCGCGCGAUUGGAGCGGCCGAUAUCAGAUUAGGUAGUUGGUGGGGUAAAGGCUCACCAAGCCAACGAUCUGUAGCUGGUCUGAGAGGACGACCAGCCACACUGGAACUGAGACACGGUCCAGACUCCUACGGGAGGCAGCAGUGGGGAAUUUUGGACAAUGGACGCAAGUCUGAUCCAGCCAUUCCGCGUGCAGGAUGAAGGCCCUCGGGUUGUAAACUGCUUUUGUACGGAACGAAAAGGUCUCUCUUAAUACGGGGGACUCAUGACGGUACCGUAAGAAUAAGCACCGGCUAACUCCGUGCCAGCAGCCGCAGUAA
rnacentral:rRNA from 1 species